AUACGGAAGAUGCGAGCGUUAUCCGGAUUUAUUGGGUUUAAAGGGAGCGUAGGCGGAAGGUUAAGUCUGCGGUAAAAUGGCCGUGCUCAACGCGGUCCUGCCGUGGAUACUGGUCUUCUUGAAUGUGCACAAGGAAGGUGGAAUUCGUGGUGUAGCGGUGAAAUGCUUAGAUAUCGCGAAGAACCCCGAUUGCGAAGGCAUCCUUCUGGGGCAUGAUUGACGCUGAGGCUCGAAAGCGCGGGUAUCAAACAGGAUUAGAUACCCUGGUAGUCCGCGCCGUAAACGAUGAAUACCCGUCGUUGGCGAUACACAGUCAGCGACCAAGCGAAAGCAUUAAGUAUUCCACCUGGGGAGUACGCCGGCAACGGUGAAACUCAAAGGAAUUGACGGGG
rnacentral:rRNA from 1 species